rnacentral:rRNA from 1 species
CGUCUUAGCAUGCAGUCGAGCGGCAGGCGUCAGCAAUGGCGCUGAGAGCGGCGGACUGGUGAGUAACGCGUGGGUGACCUGCCUUGAGGAUGGGGAUAGCCGCUAGAAAUAGCGGGUAAUACCGAAUACGCUGGGGGGACGGAAGUUUUUCCAGGAAAGGGGCUUAGGCCCCGCCUUAAGAGGGGCCCGCGUCCCAUUAGGUAGUUGGUGAGGUAAAGGCCCACCAAGCCCGAGAUGGGUAGCCGGCCUGAGAGGGUGAACGGCCACACUGGGACUGAGAUACGGCCCAGACUCCUACGGGAGGCAGCAGCUAAGAAUAUUCCGCAAUGGACGAAAGUCUGACGGAGCGACGCCGCGUGGAUGAGGAAGGCCGAAAGGUUGUAAAAUCCUUUUGCGGAUGAAGAAUAAGCGGUGGAGGGAAUGCCAUCGUGAUGACGAUAGUCCGUGAAUAAGCCCCGGCUAAUUACGUGCCAGCAGCCGCGGUAACACGUAAGGGGCGAGCGUUGUUCGGAAUUAUUGGGCGUAAAGGGCGCGUAGGCGGUUAUGUAAGUCUGAUGUGAAAUAUCCGGGCUUAACCCGGAGAGGGCAUUGGAAACUGUAUGACUUGGGUCAUGGAGGGGGAGCUGGAAUUCCUGGUGUAGGGGUGAAAUCUGUAGAUAUCAGGAAGAACACCGGUGGCGAAGGCGAGCUUCCAGCCAAUGACUGACGCUGAGGCGCGAAAGUGCGGGGAGCAAACAGGAUUAGAUACCCUGGUAGUCCGCACUAUAAACGAUGCACACUAGUGUUGGGCGAGCGUCUCAGUGCCGGAGCGAACGUGAUAGUGUGCGCUGGGAGUAUGCCCGCAGGUGAACUCAAGGAUGACGGGGCC